rnacentral:rRNA from 1 species
ACGAACGCUGGCGGCGUGCCUAAUACAUGCAAGUCGAGCGCUGAAGAGAGGAGCUUACUCUUCUUGGAUGAGUUGCGAACGGGUGAGUAACGCGUAGGUAACCUGCCUUGUAGCGGGGGAUAACUAUUGGAAACGAUAGCUAAUACCGCAUAACAAUGGAUGACACAUGUCAUUUAUUUGAAAGGGGCAAUUGCUCCACUACAAGAUGGACCUGCGUUGUAUUAGCUAGUAGGUGAGGUAAGGGCUCACCUAGGCGACGAUACAUAGCCGACCUGAGAGGGUGAUCGGCCAACCUGGGACUGGGACCCGGCCCAGACUCCUACGGGAGGCAGCAGUAGGGAAUCUUCGGCAAUGGGGGCAACCCUGACCGAGCAACGCCGCGUGAGUGAAGAAGGGUUUCGGAUCGGAAAGCUCUGUUGUAAGUCAAGAACGGGUGUGAGAGUGGAAAGUUCACACUGUGACGGUAGCUUACCAGAAAGGGACGGCUAACUACGUG